rnacentral:rRNA from 1 species
UACGUAGGGUGCAAGCGUUAAUCGGAAUUACUGGGCGCAAAGCGUGCGCAGGCGGUGAUGUAAGGCCGAUGUGAAAUCCCCGGGCUUAACCUGGGAACUGCAUUGGUGACUGCAUUGCUAGAGUAUGGCAGAGGGGGGUGGAAUUCCACGUGUAGCAGUGAAAUGCGUAGAGAUGUGGAGGAACACCGAUGGCGAAGGCAGCCCCCUGGGCCAAUACUGACGCUCAUGCACGAAAGCGUGGGGAGCAAACAGG